GUAUAGAAAUAUGGUAAGCUAUGCGACUUGGUUUUGUGGUCAUCGCGCGGUUACCCUGUGGUGUCACAAAUCAGCCAGUAAUCCAGCCGCGCAACUCUCAGGCCCCUCUCGGUCUUACGCUUUUAUGUGUUUUUAGUUCAAAACUCGUAUGUUCACAGAAAAAAGGCAGUAUUUAAUGAGAAAAUAUGCGGAUUCAAAUGGACUGAAGUCUUUUAGGAACCGUUUUGUCUGAAGUACGAGUCGAUAGUAAAAGAUACCCGAGUGUUCGUGAAUCCCGCCCGUCGCAACAGCUAAAAAGAGGACUAUAGAGGAGGACUAUGGAGGAUCUACACUACCAUUGUAUAUUUAUUCACGUCUAUAUUUAUGUAAGGAGAUCCUGAGAAGAAAGGGCCUUGAUGUCUGUUUUCAGCUAUAAAAAUCAUUCGCUUGUGUCGACGAGUUCCUUGCUAGCAGAAAUUCGACAACUUCACAGUUUACAACAAAAGCGAACAACACAACCACAACAGAAAGCGAAAAAAAAAACUGCCAAGGUAAAACCAACCAAGGACUACCUGAGGGCCAUGACUGAUCCUAAAUGCUGGAAGGCAUAAUAAUAGGCAAAUAUUAAGAUAAUAUAGUAGAGGAUUUCUUACUUUUAUACAGUAUAAGUGUAACAGGGGUUUUAGAGCAAGAUACUUGCUCUCAAUGAUAAAUCUGUAAAGAAAACUUUUUCUAUCAACCUAAA